rnacentral:rRNA from 1 species
GCAUAUCAAUAAGCGGAAGGAAAAAGAAACCAACAGGGAUUGCCCUAGUAACGGCGAGUGAAGCGGCAACAGCCUCAAAUUUGAAAUCUGGCGUCUUUGGCGUCCGAGUUGUAAUUUGCAGAGGGCGCUUUGGCAUUGGCAGCGGUCCAAGUUCCUUGGAACAGGACGUCACAGAGGGUGAGAAUCCCGUACGUGGUCGCUAGCCUUUACCGUGUAAAGCCCCUUCGACGAGUCGAGUUGUUUGGGAAUGCAGCUCUAAAUGGGAGGUAAAUUUCUUCUAAAGCUAAAUACUGGCCAGAGACCGAUAGCGCACAAGUAGAGUGAUCGAAAGAUGAAAAGCACUUUGGAAAGAGAGUUAAAAAGCACGUGAAAUUGUUGAAAGGGAAGCGCUUGCAGCCAGACUUGCCUGUAGUUGCUCAUCUGGGUUUUUACCCAGUGCACUCUUCUAUAGGCAGGCCAGCAUCAGUUUGGGCGGUUGGAUAAAGGUCUCUGUCAUGUACCUCUCUUCGGGGAGAACUUAUAGGGGAGACGACAUGCAACCAGCCUGGACUGAGGUCCGCGCAUCUGCUAGGAUGCUGGCGUAAUGGCUGUAAGCGGCCCGUCUUGAAACACGGACCAAGGAGUCUAACAUCUAUGCGAGUGUUUGGGUGUCAAGCCCGAGCGCGUAAUGAAAGUGAACGGAGGUGGGAACCUUUCGGGGUGCACCAUCGACCGAUCCUGAUGUCUUCGGAUGGAUUUGAGUAAGAGCAUAGCUGUUGGGACCCGAAAGAUGGUGAACUAUGCUUGAAUAGGGUGAAGCCAGAGGAACUCUGGUGGAGGCUCGCAGCGGUUCUGACGUGCAAAUCGAUCGUCAAAUUUGGCAUAGGGCGAAAGACUAAUCGACUAUCAGAGCUGUCUGCGAGU